UGGGGAAUAUUGCACAAUGGGCGAAAGCCUGAUGCAGCAACGCCGCGUGAGUGAUGAAGGCCUUCGGGUUGUAAAGCUCUGUCUUUUGGGACGAUAAUGACGGUACCAAAGGAGGAAGCCACGGCUAACUACGUGCCAGCAGCCGCGGUAAUACGUAGGUGGCAAGCGUUGUCCGGAUUUACUGGGCGUAAAGGAUGCGUAGGCGGAUUUUUAAGUGAGAUGUGAAAACCCUAAGCUUAACUUGGGGACUGCAUUUCAUACUGGAAAUCUAGAGUGCGGGAGAGGAGAAUGGAAUUCCUAGUGUAGCGGUGAAAUGCGUAGAGAUUAGGAAGAACACCAGUGGCGAAGGCGAUUCUCUGGACCGUAACUGACGCUGAGGCAUGAAAGCGUGGGUAGCAAACAGGAUUAGAUACCCUGGUAGUCCACGCCGUAAACGAUGAGUACUAGGUGUAGGAGGUAUCGACCCCUUCUGUGCCGCAGUUAACACAAUAAGUACUCCGCCUGGGAAGUACGAUCGCAAGAUUAAAAACUCAAAUGAAUUGACGGGGGUCAUAGCUGUUUUUCCU
rnacentral:rRNA from 1 species